GACAAGGUUCCAGACCCUACGGGGUGCAGCAGGCGCGAAACCUCCGCAAUGUACGAAAGUGCGACGGGGGGAUCCCAAGUGUUAUGCUUUUUUGUAUGACUUUUCAUUAGUGUAAAAAGCUUUUAGAAUAAGAGCUGGGCAAGACCGGUGCCAGCCGCCGCGGUAACACCGGCAGCUCGAGUGGUAGCUGUUUUUAUUGGGCCUAAAGCGUUCGUAGCCGGUUUGAUAAGUCUUUGGUGAAAGCUUGUAGCUUAACUAUAAGAAUUGCUGGAGAUACUAUUAGACUUGAAGUCGGGAGAGGUUAGAGGUACUACCGGGGUAGGGGCGAAAUCCUAUAAUCCUGGGAGGACCACCUGUGGCGAAGGCGUCUAACUGGAACGAUCUUGACGGUGAGUAACGAAAGCCAGGGGCGCGAACCGGAUUAGAUACCCGGGUAGUCCUGGCCGUAAACGAUGUGGACUUGGUGUUGGAAUGGCUUUGAGUUGUUCCGGUGCCGAAGGGAAGCUGUUAAGUCCACCGCCUGGGAAGUACGGUCGCAAGACUGAAACUUAA
rnacentral:rRNA from 1 species